ensembl:rRNA 5S_rRNA 5S ribosomal RNA
GCCAACAGCCAUAUCGCCCUGCAGCCCAAGACUGGUUGCCCACUGAAGCUAAGCAGGGUUGAGCCUGGUCAGUACCUGGAUGGGAGACCUCCUGGGAAAACUAGGUUGCUGCUGGAA